rnacentral:rRNA from 1 species
UACGGAGGAUGCGAGCGUUAUCCGGAUUUAUUGGGUUUAAAGGGUGCGUAGGCGGACUGUCAAGUCAGCGGUAAAAUACGGGGGCUCAACCUCCGCCCGCCGUUGAAACUGGCAGUCUUGAGUACAGUAGAGGUGGGCGGAAUUCGUGGUGUAGCGGUGAAAUGCUUAGAUAUCACGAAGAACUCCGAUUGCGAAGGCAGCUCACUGGACUGCAACUGACACUGAGGCUCGAAAGUGUGGGUAUCAAACAGG